GAUGAACGCUGGCGGCGUGCCUAAUACAUGCAAGUCGAGCGAACAGACGAGGAGCUUGCUCCUCUGACGUUAGCGGCGGACGGGUGAGUAACACGUGGAUAACCUACCUAUAAGACUGGGAUAACUUCGGGAAACCGGAGCUAAUACCGGAUAAUAUAUUGAACCGCAUGGUUCAAUAGUGAAAGACGGUUUUGCUGUCACUUAUAGAUGGAUCCGCGCCGCAUUAGCUAGUUGGUAAGGUAACGACUUACCAAGGCAACGAUGCGUAGCCGACCUGAGAGGGUGAUCGGCCACACUGGAACUGAGACACGGUCCAGACUCCUACGGGAGGCAGCAGUAGGGAAUCUUCCGCAAUGGGCGAAAGCCUGACGGAGCAACGCCGCGUGAGUGAUGAAGGUCUUCGGAUCGUAAAACUCUGUUAUUAGGGAAGAACAAAUGUGUAAGUAACUAUGCACGUCUUGACGGUACCUAAUCAGAAAGCCAGGGCUAACUACGUG
rnacentral:rRNA from 1 species